CAAUGUGAGUUUGAACUACAACUCCCUGCUGACACGUGUGCAACUGCCAAAGCUCGCGUUUUCUGUGAAUUGUGUCCCUCCGUGCUUCCCUUACCCCCAGUAGCGCUUUAGCCUAUGCUACAGGUGAGUUGUGUAGAAAAAGCUCUGUGAAUAAUUUCAUAUUUUAGGAUGAUAAAUCUACUUCUGAGGUGAAUUUUUCCAAGCAUCAUCUGUAAUAACAGGCAUAGUUCUUAUGCGCUGCGUUUCGGACAAGUAUUGGCGCAUAUUUAGCCAAAUUUAGUACUUUGGUUCCAGACGGAGCUGUCGGCAAUGCUCUAUGCAGACGGCAACGUCUUUUGGCGCCAAUUGUGCUCAAACUCCUGUUUUCCUUUCCUUUUUCUCAUUUUUAUAGAGCCAUGGGCAGUUGCAGCAAGCAUACUCUUAAAACCGGAUUGUGUGUGCGUGUGUCUGCAGGAAUGUUGUAGUCAUUUCGUCUUGGAAUUAGAAAAAAGGUGUAUUGUGUGUUCUGUGAAGCUUUGGAGAAAAAAACCUCCCUCCCUGUGCAGCUACAGUUCGUCCACUAUACGACCACAUAGAACAAAAUGUACCAGCUGAGUCGUGUAUUGUUUUAACUUUAUUCUCAUGAGCAAAUGUGUACAGGAACAAUAAAGACACAGCCAGAGAGGGAAGCCACUGAGUCAGUCAUUUUCUGUGUGCCCGUCGAGAUUUUGAAGCAGAAAGAAUGAUGCAACCUUUCAAGACAUCACUUAUUGAUCGGUGUGAAUCGGACAGAGGACGCAGAUCAUAAGCAGUCCAAUCUCACACAGCCCUGCUGAACUCCUGAAGCCCACUAAGGAACCAACAUCAACUGCUGACCCUGUUGCUGUACCAGGAACAUGGAGUGAAGCUGGUGUUUCUUCCACCCCCUCUGCUCCCAGCUGCUCAGUACCAUUAAACACCGGGAUGCCAGCCCUUAAUUUGGCAAGGAGGCCUCCUGCUCAGCAUCUUUCCACCAUCAUUACCACAGCUAGCCCACCUGAUUUCAGCAGCCCUACCACUGCCAGGACCACCUCUGCCACAACCCAGCCAUCGUCUAGUCCUGCAAAGACACAGGGGUCACCAGUGCCUCGUCCCGUCCACCACCAGUUCCUUUGUCUUUGUCACGUUGAGCUGCAGGUGGUUCCGCUCGCACCAUGCGAGAAAGUCCUUCACUGUCGCCCUGUACUCAUCCUCAUCACCCUUGCUGAUACAUACUAUCGCAGAGUCAUCAGAAAACUUCUGAAGGUGGCAAGUCUCUCUGCAGUAGCUGACGUCUGUGGUGUAGAGGGUGGAGAGGAAGGGAGAGAGGACAGUUCCUUGUGCAACUCCAGUGUUGCUGACCACUCUGUUCAACACACACAGUCACAUAAUCUAAUCUAAUCUAAUCUAACCUUAAUCUAACCAUGCCCGAGUGAUGUACUCACUUCGCCCUGGUUUAAAGUGCUUGUGCUAUGAUCAGAACAGAGGCCCUUAUGGUUAGAUCUGACCCUCAUCAGUAUGUCUUGGGCAUUUGGCACAACAUGGAGAUCUCAAGAAUCUGUCCGGAGGUAGAGACGAACGCUCCGGAGCUUAGCGUUCCCGCCGCAGUGUGGAGCGGGUACAAUGGCGUCGUGGCUGAGGCUUUGCUAGUCAGAGUCACAGGAACAGCAGAAGGGGAGAAGUACGCGCCCUACGGAGUCCUCCGAUUCAUGAGGCGCGAGAGAUUCUAUGUAGUUGUUCUGUUUGUUUGAUUUCAUGUGAUUUUUAUUCAAUAUUAAUAUGCUGUUUAAAUGUGUUUGAGACCUCUUAAUAAAAAUGCUCAGUUUCUAGUCUUAUCUUACCUGACAAACUCAUAGAAACCAUCAGAAGUUUCUGUUUGUUCCUGCUGCUUUUAUAAUAUUCAGCUAUGGUAGUUAGUGUUUUUCUGAUAGGUCGGUAUCAAAUUGUAAAGACCUGUAAUGGCUUAAUUUUUCCUCCUUGCACUUUUUCAGCAAGGAUGGACCGUGUAGUUUAGAAUCAUAUCUCGAGAUCUUCUGCUUGCUCAAAGUCAUUUUCAGACUUUAAGGGGAAAAAUGAUAGCUAAUAUAUGCUACGCAGGUAAGCACUCUGACCUGCCCUGCUGGACGGGAGCUACACUGGGCUGGAAGGAGGUUCAACCUGUGCUGCACGCAGCAUUUCCAUAUGGAGAAAUCCUCAGAAUAUGAUAGAUGAUGAAAUAUAAGAAAGAGGAUCUUAAUAUUAGUCAGUUAUGGAUUUACAGUAACUGUUAAAGCUCUGCAAACCGCAGCCGAGUGUGAAGCGGCCGGGAUGAGGAUCAGUACCUCCAAAUCCGAGGCCAUGGUUCUCAGACGGGAAAGGGUGGAGAUCCCUCUCUGGGUUGGGGAUGAGCUCUUGCCUCAAGUGGAGGAGUUUAGGUAUCUCGGGGUCUUGUUUACGAGUGAUGGUAAAGUGGAGCGGGAGAUUGACAGGCGGAUUGGUGCUGGGUCAGCAGUGAUGCGGGCUCUUUACCGGUCUGUUGUGGUAAAGAAAGAGCUGAGCUAUAAGGCAAGGCUCUCGAUUUACUGAUCGAUCUACGUUCCCACCCUCACCUAUGGUCAUGAGCUUUGGGUAAUGACCGAAAGACCGAGAUCGCGAAUACAAGCGGCCAAAAUGAGUUUCCUCCGCAGGGUGUCUGGACUCUCCCUUAGAGAUCGGGUGAGAAUUUCGGUCAUCCGGGAGGGACUCGGAGUAGAGCCGCUGCUUCUCCACGUCGAGAGGAGCCAGCUGAGGUGGUCUGGGCCUCAUUGCUGCCCCGGCGACCCGAACCCUGGAGAAGCGGACGAUGAUGGAUGGAUGGAUGUUAAAGCUCUGCAGUGAGGUACAUUAUAUUAUAUUAUACAUUAUUAUUUAAUC
ensembl:lncRNA